rnacentral:rRNA from 1 species
AAAGCUUGCUUUUCUGCUGACGACCGGCGCACGGGUGCGUAACGCGUAUGCAAUCUACCUUUUGCUAAGGGAUAGCCCAGAGAAAUUUGGAUUAAUACCUUAUAGUAUGGUGACUUGGCAUCAAGAUAUCAUUAAAGAUCACGGCAAAAGAUGAGCAUGCGUUCUAUUAGCUAGUUGGUGUGGUAACGGCAUACCAAGGCAACGAUAGAUAGGGGUCCUGAGAGGGAGAUCCCCCACACUGGUACUGAGACACGGACCAGACUCCUACGGGAGGCAGCAGUGAGGAAUAUUGGACAAUGGAGGCAACUCUGAUCCAGCCAUGCCGCGUGCAGGAAGACUGCCCUAUGGGUUGUAAACUGCUUUUAUACAGGAAGAAACACCUCUACGUGUAGAGAUUUGACGGUACUGUAAGAAUAAGGAUCGGCUAACUCCGUGCCAGCAGCCGCGGUAAUACGGAGGAUCCAAGCGUUAUCCGGAAUCAUUGGGUUUAAAGGGUCCGUAGGUGGAUAAUUAAGUCAGAGG